rnacentral:lncRNA from 1 species
AAAAAUAUUUUCUACCACAAAUAUUUUUUAAAAAUAAAUGAUUUUCUACAAAUAAAUAAAAUAUUAAAUUCAAAAAAUUGUAGAUUUAAAAAUCACCCAAGUAUAUUAUUCUUACGACGGAAUAAAAUUAUAUAACUAUAUAUAAACUUUAAUUUAAAAUCUAAUUAUUAAAUUAAAAAUAUUUGUUUUAUUAUAAUCAUUAUAUAAUUUAGAUUUUAAUAGAAAUUGUAUAGCAACCUGAUCACAGGCUAUAAAUUGGAGUGGCCACAAGCCACAACGAAUGAGAAUUUAAGGCUUGGCAAUAAACGUG